ACUCGUGACGGUGGAUGUCUUGGCUCCAGCAUCGAUG
rnacentral:rRNA from 1 species